rnacentral:lncRNA from 1 species
GGGCGGGAAACAGUUUCCGGCCCAGGUGAAGGCAGGAUUGGAGCUGAUCUCACUUGAUUCCCAGCCGAAGAAUAACCUGUUUCCGGGCCGGGGAUUUAGCUCAGUGGUUCCGCCGCCUGCCUCACAGGCCCAAGGACCCAAGUUCGAUCCCCGGUAUCAAAAAAAAAAAAAAAAAGAGUAACGUGUUUCCUCCCCUCCCCUCCGGUAUGAGUGCUGCAAGUUCUGCCUCGGGCGAAGUGUCUGUAAUUCCCACCAAAGACCUGGGGAGUUUCUGAGAUUCGUUCAGUGGCACACUAGUAGCUGAUGAGGAAGACCGGCCGAGACCUGAAACCAUCUAACUCCUACAGGACUUAAUCAAUCAGAUCUACUACCUAAAGUGACAUUUACCAUUCUGUCAGAUGCCUCUGGCAGCUAAAUGUUCCCUUACUGAAGUCUGGACCUUAUAAGAUUACCAGUCAUCCAUGAAAAUAAUGUCAUCUGACCUUAAUAAAAGGAAAAAUGUACUCGACGGACAGCAAAACACGCUCGGCUCUGAAGUGCAAAUGAACCAGAACAGACAAUUCCAUGUUUCGUUUACUAUUUUGAGGCGAGAUUCUUCACUUCAUGACCCAGGUGUUUUCUAGAACUGUAAUGAUACUGAGUAAGUUUCACAAGCAAAAUAGUCGCUCUAGGGACUUUCGAAUAGAGGAGAUCAUUUUUUUAGCCUAUUUGACAAGAGUUGAUUAGGCUGAAAUUGAUACUGGUAUUGUGAAAUGAAAAGAUUUAUAAUCAUUUAUCUAAGGAUAAAGAUUUGAAAUAAACUUGGCAAAUUGUAACUAAGCUUUCAAAGUUCUAGGGUAUGUUGAUAUUCAAAUUAGCUGGAAGAGAAACAACGGUAUUGAAGAACAAAAUGGGAGAACAUAUAGUACAGCAUUUAAAAUUCCAACAUCAGUGGACAUUUCAAACUUCAACACUGUUAGUCUAAAAAGUGUUAAAAUUUUAAUCCUAAAACAAAUAGCAGGAGAUGGUGCUUUAAAAACUUAGAUUUGUAAUUAAAUCCCUAGCAAUGUCUAAUCUUCUGCAAUUAAAAGGAGGAAUAAUAAGUUACAGAUAAUUCUCUGUUCGGUGUUUGUUCAGAAAUAUACACUAAAUAUUAUUAUGAAAUAAGUUUUAAGAUUUUUGGAGGAUUAAGAUCCAGAGUACCUGACUGAGUUAAGAAAACCACUGAAGGUUGAUAUAGAACUAAAGUGAUUUGGGAAUUUUGGAUUAAUGGAAACGUGAGCUUUUAUUUUAGAAGAUGGCAAACAAGCUAAUAUUAGUGUUUUAAAUUCAAUUUCUUGAGUGUAACCUAAUAAUUUUGUAAUAAUAAUUAUUGUUACUUCUCAGCAUUCUAAAAUACUACAUUUUUAAUCAAGGUAGACUAUUUUCAUAAAGAAUUUGCAAAAAAGAUGGAGUGAAAAUAUUCUUUAAAAAUAACGAGAGCAGUAACUGAAAAUACACUGGAUUUUGUUUUUGCUAUUAAAAAUCAGCAAGUAUAUUCAGAAUAACAUUGGCUUAUGAGCACCAGAAAACCUACACAAUUGUGUCAAUAUGUUUUAAAUGGAUAAUUCCAGAGAGCAAAAAGCUACAGGAAAUCUGAAAAUAUCACAUUCCACAAAGUCAUGCCGAUUAGCAUUUAUGCCAUCGAUUUCUGUUAAAGUGUUAAAAUGUCAGAGCCUGAGGAGUAUGAAAGCCUUUUAGAGCAGAGAUGAACAGAUGCAGAAGAGGAGUAGACUCAGUUA